AUUGAACGCUGGCGGCAGGCCUAACACAUGCAAGUCGAACGAGUGGCGGACGGGUGAGUAAUGUCUGGGCACCUGCCUGAUGGCGGGGGAUACCUACUGGAAACGGUCGCUACUACCGCAUACCAUCAAAUGUUCCCCGAUGGGAUUAGCUAGUUGGUGGGGUAACGGCUCACCAAGGCGACGAUCCCUAGCUGGUCUGAGAGGAUGACCAGCCACACUGGAACUGAGACACGGUCCAGACUCCUACGGGAGGCAGGAGUGGGGAAUAUUGCACAAUGGGCGCAAGCCUGAUGCAGCCAGGCCGCGUGUAUGAAGAAGGCCUGCGGGUUGUAAAGUACUUUCAGCGGGGAGGCGUUACCCGCAGAAGAAGCACCGGCUAACUCCGUGCCAGCCGCCGCGGUAAUAC
rnacentral:rRNA from 1 species